rnacentral:lncRNA from 1 species
AUAGAGAAGUCCAGGUGAGGCCUAAUCGCCCCUGGCACAGUUGGCCUUGUGAUAAAGUCAGGAAAGAGAAGUCCAGGUGAGGCCUAAUCGCCCCUGGCAAGUUGGACAUAUUGUUAUAUGUAUACAGUAAAGGGCUAUUGGUGACAAGUUCAUCCUUGAGGUGAUAUGUUUGUGAUGUGAUACAUUUCAUGAAAGCAUGUAAUUAAUGAACUGUUUA